rnacentral:tRNA from 1 species
GGAGUUGUGGUGUAGUGGCCUAACAUGCCCGCCUGUCACGCGGGAGACCGCGGGUUCGAAUCCCGUCAGCUCCGCCA